UACAGAGGUGCCGAGCGUUAGGCGGAAUCACUGGGCUUAAAGCGUGUGUAGGCGGGUUCGUAAGUCCCUUGUGAAAUCCCAUGGCUCAACCAUGGAACUGCUUGGUAUACUGCGAAUCUUGAGCCACUUAGGGGCUACCGGAACAAAUGGUGGAGCGGUGAAAUGCGUAGAUAUCAUUUGGAACGCCAAUGGUGAAAACAGGUAGCUGGGAGUGUGCUGACGCUGAGACACGAAAGCCAGGGGAGCGAACGGG
rnacentral:rRNA from 1 species